CAGGACGUAACACUCCUAAACCACCGCGAACCUACCGAAACGUUGCCUCGGCGGGUGCCCGACACAGUCGGGCGUCCAGCCCGCCGGCGGCCCACCACUCUGUCUCUGCAGCGAUGUAUCUCCGAGUAUACACAAAUGAGUCA
rnacentral:misc_RNA from 1 species